rfam:Asian citrus Psyllid, Diaphorina citri - Florida Strain, whole genome shotgun sequence.
GCCAGCGACAAUUGCACGUUGAAUGCACCAGUUCCCCAUGGAUCACUGAGGUUAAUCAACGUUGCGCGUGGAUAGGAUCCGGAUGGGUGACUAUCUGGACAAUUGCGUGCUACUGCGU